GAGGAGGCAGAGCGGAAGGAAAGGAGGAAGAGGGAAACCGGGGACGUCGGUCAUCUCCAGGCGCUGGUGUUCUGGGUCACAGUUUGGUAAGAAGAUCAAAGGGCACGAUCAACAGCUCGUGCACUGCCUUGGUGUGGACCCAGAGUUCAAGCACAGACGAAGAUCAGACACUGACUUCACACUUCUGAUAGUGUCUGGCUAGCACCGCGUCCAGGUAUACUCAGUCGCUGUAAUUGUUCAUCGUGAUGAUCAGGAGAGCUCUGCCGGUGCGAUUCAAAUAUCAACCUAUUUGGACCACCUCCACUGCGUCCACAGGCAGGUGGAGGGCAAUCCCCACCACCAGCUCUACCAGUGCAACCUCGACCCACAGGAGUUGCUCCUCCUCCUCCAACUCCGUUACCUCUACUAAGUGGUAUACCAUAUUCACCACCAUUACCUUUGUUUGGGGAUCUCCUGGUUUAACUUAUGAAGCAGAAAUAUAAACCUGACCUCCAUGAAAUGAUUCUUGAACUGCAUGACUUUGAUUCUCCAAGGAACAAGAAUCAAAUGGUCAAAGGCAAAAUUCUAACUAAAGGUUUCUGACAUCUAGUCACAGGUUGUCAUUAACAUGCAAAUAACUGCAUAGCUGUGUACAAGUAUGGUAUAAUUGUAGAGAAUAUGACUCUGGACUCUUUAGCUUUCCACUGUGAGCUCACCAUCUUAUGUUGCUCUUUCAGUACAGUGUCUCAAUGCAGUUAGCCCUCAGUAUCCAUGGGGGAUUGGUUCCAGGAAGCCUGUGGAUACCCAAAUCGGCAGAUACUCAUAUCCUUUACAAUUAGCCCUCUGUAUCCGCGAGUUCCAUAUCUGUGGAUGUGGAACCCACGGAUAUGGACAGCUGACUGCAAUUCUUGUCAAUUACUUAAAGUGUCAUGAUGAGGUUCCCUAUGGGACAGCUACCUGUCAUGAGGAUGAAUCCUCAAACACUUCUGCUAUAUUUUCAGUCCACCAAAGAAUGCCUUACAGCUGGAAGGAGCUGGUGUCCCUUCUCUUCAGAGCUAAAGCGAUUUCAGUCUCUCAAAACAGUUUGUUUAGACUUUAUGUAUGAAAAAAACUUUAACUUUAAGCAAAACUUAAAAUGUCACCCAAUCCAGUCACACCGAAGUUCCCCUUAAGCUUUCCCUAUCUAGGAAAUUCCUACAAGUUCCCUUUCACUUAGGAAAUGUACCAGUAUCCUCUUAAGACUCCAAGUUGGUCUUCAGGUGGAUGGAUAAAGAAAAUAUGACAUGUACAGAAAACUGAAUAUUAUUCACCCCUUAAAAGGAAGUAAGUCCUGUGACAUGGAAAACUAUGGAUAAAACUUGAGGACAAAAUGCAAGUGAAAUAAGCCACUCACAAACACAAAAACACUUGGGUUAAGUACUUAACGCAAGUAAAAAUACGCAGUGGUUAAGAAUCCGACUGCCAGUGCAGAGGACACGGGUUCAAUCCCUGGUCCGGGAAGAUCCCACAUGCCGCGGAGCACCUAAGCCCGUGUGCCACAACUACUGAGGCUGGGCUCUAGAGCCCGCGAACCACAACUACUGAGCCUGUGUGCUGCAACUACUUGAGGCCGCAUGCCUGGAGCCCGUGCUCCGCAAUAACAGAAACCACCACGAUGAGAAGCCUACGCACCGCAACGAAGAGCAGCCCCCGCUUGCCACGGCUACAGAAAGCCAG